rnacentral:rRNA from 1 species
GACGAACGCUGGCGGCGUUCCUAAUACAUGCAAGUCGAACGCAGUGGGGACGGGUGAGUAACACGUGGGUAACCUCCCAUCAGAGGGGAUAACACUUGGAAACAGGUGCUAAACCGAUACUGAUGGAUGGACCCGCUGUGCAUUAGCUAGUUGGUGAGGUAACGGCUCACCAAGGCCAAUAUGCAUAGCCGACCUGAGAGGGUGAUCGGCCAAACGGGGACAGGGACACGGCCCAGACGCCUACGGGAGGCAAGAGGAGGGAAUUUUCGGCAAUGGACGAAAGUCUGAACGAGCCAAGCCGCGGUAGGGAAGAAGGUUUUCGGAUCGGAAAACUCUUUUGUUAGGGAAGCGGUAUCUAACCAGAAAGCCACGGCUAACUACGUGCCAGCCGCCGCGGUAAUUC